AACGAACGCUGGCGGCAUGCCUAACACAUGCAAGUCGAACGAGACCUUCGGGUCUAGUGGCGCACGGGUGCGUAACGCGUGGUAACCUGCCCUUAGGUUCGGAAUAACUCCCCGAAAGGGGUGCUAAUACCGGAUAAUGUCUUCGGACCAAAGAUUUAUCGCCUUUGGAUGGGCCCGCGUUGGAUUAGCUAGUUGGUAGGGUAAAAGCCUACCAAGGCGACGAUCCAUAGCUGGUCUGAGAGGAUGAUAAGCCACACUGGGACUGAGACACGGCCCAGACUCCUACGGGAGGCAGCAGUGGGGAAUAUUGGACAAUGGGCGAAAGCCUGACACAGCAAUGCCGCGUGAGUGAUGAAGGCCUUAGGGUUGUAAAGCUCUUUUACCCGGGAUGAUAAUGACAGUACCGGGAGAAUAAGCACCGGCUAACUACGUG
rnacentral:rRNA from 1 species